UAUGACAUGAUAACAUACGAGUGACCUACUAACUGUAGUUACGAUCGUGGAUGUGCGGGCUUCAAGUGUUUAUAGGAAACCUAGCAAUUUAGUUUAUUAUCUAUAUCUGUAAUGACUGAUUUCCUAUAGAGUUUAAAUGGCUAAUAAUGGCUAAUAAAAAAUAAAUAGUGACAUAUUCCGGGACGCAUUAGAAGAAAAGCGUAUUUUGCUAGAGAACCCUAUGGAAAUCCUGUUCUCCGA